AGCGGAGGAAAAGAAAAUAACAAUGAUUCCCUCAGUAACGGCGAGCGANGAGGGAUAAGCUCAANUUUUAAAUCUGUUGGGUUCCACUUAACAGAGUUGUAUUUUGAAGAAACGUUUUCUGCAUCCAGGAUUAGCCUAAAUCCUUUGGGAUAAGGUAUCAUGGAGGGUGAGAAUCCCGUUCAUGGUUAAUCUUAAGGAAGCUCUACGAUACGUUUUCCAAGAGUCGAGUUGUUUGGGAUUGCAGCUCAAAAUGGGAGGUAAAUUUCUCCUAAGGCUAAAUAUUGGCGAGAGACCGAUAGCGAACAAGUACCGUGAGGGAAAGAUGAAAAGAACUUUGAAAAGAGAGUUAAACAGUACGUGAAAUUGUUGAAAGGGAAACGAUUGAAGUCAGUCAUACCAACGGGAAAUCAACCUUUUGAGCUCGGUCUCGUGGGUUUUGAAGAGUUUCAAAGCCUUCGGAUUCGCGGGAUUGGGAUCUCUUGGUGUACUUUUUCGUACGGUUAGUCAACAUCGGUUUUGAAUGUCAUAAAAUGACUGGAGGAAUGUAGCUUCGAUCUCGUAUUGAAGUGUUAUAGCCUUUGGUAGAUGUGAUGUUUGAGACCGAGGAUUGCAACGGAUACCCUUCAGGGCUAUUCGUCUGAUCUCUGAUACGUUGCCUUGAUGUUGAAAGCUUGCUUAUGAUGUUAGGGUAUUACGGUCAAAAGGUUAGAACGGAUUACAUUCGUUAAGGAUGUUGACGUAAUGACUUUAAACGACCCGUCUUG
rnacentral:rRNA from 1 species